rnacentral:rRNA from 1 species
AAAUUGAAGAGUUUGAUCAUGGCUCAGAUUGAACGCUGGCGGCAGGCCUAACACAUGCAAGUCGAACGGUAACAGGAAACAGCUUGCUGUUUCGCUGACGAGUGGCGGACGGGUGAGUAAUGUCUGGGAAACUGCCUGAUGGAGGGGGAUAACUACUGGAAACGGUAGCUAAUACCGCAUAACGUCGCAAGACCAAAGAGGGGGACCUUCGGGCCUCUUGCCAUCGGAUGUGCCCAGAUGGGAUUAGCUAGUAGGUGGGGUAAAGGCUCACCUAGGCGACGAUCCCUAGCUGGUCUGAGAGGAUGA